UCACGAUCAGCAAUGAUCUUGGCAGGCUAAGAACGAGCCUGAGCAAGCGUCUGAGUAAAGUCCUUUCUUAUCUACAAUUCCAGCUCCACUAGACAAGGAGGAUGAAGGGAAAUUAAAGACACCUUCAGAUAAGACACGGAACCCAAAGAAUUCAAGGAUGGCGUGCCCAUGUUCACACAGUUCCUAAGCGGCAAGAUGGGAAUUUGAAUAGAACCCGCCUGACAAAAGUCUGAAUUAACGCUCUUCUCCAAAAUGCCUAAAUGGAUGUGGUGUAGACACGUGCAGAGACAGGAUGUUAGAAUAAAGCCUAGAAGAACAGAGAGAAAACGAGACUAGAAGAAUGUGAAAGGCUGUCCUCUAUGGGUUCUGUCACUUCCCCGUGCGAUCAGCCCUCCGCCAGUCAACUCGGGUCGGCCAUGCACAGCCCAUCCCCAACCCCACAGCUCUUCCCCAACCUCUGGGAACCUCUGCCCCCCAACUGUGAGCACAGGGGAGGGAGUCCAGGUGGGUACCCACCUUUGACUUUGGGCUUCCCUCCCCCAGGAGACCCAACCAGCUCUCGCUGGAAUCCUGAGAGCUGGUGGGGCCAACAGCCAUCCUGUGGCCCCCUGGGGGCUGAGGAAGGGCCACCAUCAAGGAGGCAGAGCUGGAAAUGAAGAUGUGUGUGACCCGCACCUGUGUGGAACCAGGGGUAGGCUGGACUCACAGUUGGAGAGCUCUUAAAUUCGCGCCCCUUUCCCUCGCCAACCAGACUGAGUGGGCAACGCCUUAGCAACUAAAAAACCAUUGCAACUGCUCAGCACACAGACAAGGAAAAUGCCCGUAUGAUGGAAUCAGAAGCAGUGAAAGCUGAAUUUAGGUUUUUGGUCCAUCUGCACUCUUACAGAGGAGCAGAGGCCUAAAGCUUUCUGAGAGUCUUCCAGAAAACUGAGCAGAGGUGAGUGCAGCCUCACCCUGUGGUGCUACAUCAUCCCAUCUUUGAAUAAAAGGAACCCUUUCCCGUGGCUCCUGUCUCCUUCAGACACAACUCGGUCCGCCUUUCGAGCUUCCUUGUGUUCCUGUACAAAACAUGCCCCUGCCUCAUCUCGUGAACCAGUUUCCCCCCACCCGGAAUCAGCAGGGUUUCCAAGGAUCUGUGCCGACUGUCCUGGGGCAGGAUUGCAGAUCAAGUUCUGGUCCGUGCCUCUGCUCACCGCUGCCUGUUUGGUAUAAUGUGAGGACUUUUCCAGAGAACCAGAAGACAGGUACUUCUUCAGAGUCUCCUGCUCACCAGGCAUGCUGCUGGCCACCAGCGCUCAGCACCAACCGUCAUGUGGUCCUUCCUUUCACCCGGGUUACCAGGAAGUCUGGGCUACUGGAUGAGCA